GGGCCGUUAGCUCAGUCGGUAGAGCAGUUGGCUUUUAACCAAUUGGUCGUAGGUUCGAAUCCUACACGGCCCACCA
rnacentral:tRNA from 2 species